rnacentral:rRNA from 2 species
GGCCCAGAUCGUUUACCGUGAAAAAAUUAGAGUGUUCAAAGCAGGCAGAUCCAAUUUUCUGCCACCGAAUACAUUAGCAUGGGAUAAUGGAAUAGGACCCUGUCCUCCUAUUUUCAGUUGGUUUUGGCAGCGCGAGGACUAGGGUAAUGAUUAAUAGGGAUAGUUGGGGGCAUUAAUAUUUAAUUGUCAGAGGUGAAAUUCUUGGAUUUAUGAAAGAUUAACUUCUGCGAAAGCAUCUGCCAAGGAUGUUUUCAUUAAUCAAGAACGAAAGUUAGGGGAUCGAAGACGAUCAGAUACCGUCGUAGUCUUAACCAUAAACGAUGCCGACCAGCGAUUAGGAGACGUUGAAUACAAAACACCACCAUCGGCGCGGUCGUCCUUGGCGUCGGUCCUUCACGGGGCCGGCGCGAGGGCGGCUUAGCCCGGUGGCACCGGUGAAUGACUCCCCUAGCAGCUUGUGAGAA